GACGAGCGCUGGCGGCGUGCCUAACACAUGCAAGUCGAACGGAACUGUUUUGAAAGAUUUCUUCGGAAUGAAUUUGAUUUAGUUUAGUGGCGGACGGGUGAGUAACGCGUGAGUAACCUGCCUUCAAGAGGGGAAUAACAUUCUGAAAAGAAUGCUAAUACCGCAUGACAUAUCGGAACCACAUGGUUUUGAUAUCAAAGAUUUUAUCGCUUGAAGAUGGACUCGCGUCCGAUUAGUUAGUUGGUGAGGUAACGGCUCACCAAGACCGCGAUCGGUAGCCGGACUGAGAGGUUGAACGGCCACAUUGGGACUGAGACACGGCCCAGACUCCUACGGGAGGCAGCAGUGGGGGAUAUUGCGCAAUGGGGGCAACCCUGACGCAGCAACGCCGCGUGAAGGAUGAAGGUUUUCGGAUUGUAAACUUCUUUUAUUAAGGACGAAAAAUGACGGUACUUAAUGAAUAAGCUCCGGCUAACUACGUG
rnacentral:rRNA from 1 species